AUACGGAGGAUGCGAGCGUUAUCCGGAUUUAUUAGGUUUAAAGGGUGUGUAGGCGGUAUUUUAAGUCAGUGGUGAAAUCUCGGAGCUUAACUUCGAAACUGCCAUUGAUACUGGAAUACUUGAGUAUAGUUGAGGUAGGCGGAAUAUGUAAUGUAGCGGUGAAAUGCAUAGAUAUUACAUAGAACACCGAUUGCGAAGGCAGCUUACUAAACUAUUACUGACGCUGAUGCACGAAAGCGUGGGGAGCGAACAGGAUUAGAAACCCCAGUAGUCC
rnacentral:rRNA from 1 species